GGCCCCAGCUUCCACCAAGUAUCGGGACCCCAGCCCUGGAAACCAACCCCCAAAUCGCUCUCCUCUUCUUAGAAUAAGAUAAUUUAUCUCCCACUUUGAAUCUGUGGUCCCACCCCUCCUCUUCUCUUGUCUAGACUUCCAAGUGCUGGCUUUCACCACACUGCCCCACCUUGUUCCCCCCUCAAGCUCUCAGCCUUCAUCUUCGGAUUGCCACUUUCUCCUUCACAGCUAAGGUCUGGAUUUGUGAUUCGUUGAGCUGACAAGGACAGGGAGCUGGGGGAGGUUUGGGAAAGGGAGACUGGAAUACUUUGACCCUCCAAAUGACAAACUGUGUCCUCUUUCUAUCACUUCUUAUCAACUCCACUCCCCACCCUAGACACACAUCAUUGAUCACGCUCUCAAGUUCGAAGGGAGGGCAGCACGAGAAAGAAAGAGGGAGGCAAGCGAAAUUCCUGAAUGGAUAGACAGAUGCUACGUCAUCGGAGCCGCAUCCUCCACUCCACAAGAGGCUAGGAGCCGGAGAAAGAGGCAGGCCAGCGGCAGGGGCCACCGAGCCAGCGCGCCUCCUCCCAGAAGCCGGAGCAGAGCAUCGGAGAAGCAGCAGCCUCAUUUGCUUCUGGUGUCAUCGUAGGUGUCCACCUUUGGCUUUGGGGGUACAGCUUCCCACCACCCAGGAAGGAAGGAACUGGCCUGGAUUUUGGCAACCUCUUGCUUGUAACAUGUUCCAAACACAAGCAGAGGGACUGAAAGGAGAAGAGGACCAAAUGGGCAAGGGGGCCUCUCUGCAUAUUCUCAGGGGAGGAAGGCCACGCCUUCUCAGGUGCAGGGGUGAAGUCUGA
rnacentral:lncRNA from 1 species